AGAGUUUGAUCCUGGCUCAGGACGAACGCUGGCGGCGUGCCUAACACAUGCAAGUCGAACGAGGUCCAUCCGGUAGCAAUACUGGUGAAGAUCAAGUGGCGAACGGGUGAGUAGCACGUGAGCAACCUGCCCCGAAGACCGGGACAACACCGGGAAACCGGUGCUAAUACCGGAUACCCCCACCGAAUCGCAUGGUUUGGUGAGGAAAUGGAUUCCGCUUCGGGAGGGGCUCGCGGCCUAUCAGCUUGUUGGUGAGGUAACGGCUCACCAAGGCUUCGACGGGUAGCUGGUCUGAGAGGACGAUCAGCCACACUGGGACUGAGACACGGCCCAGACUCCUACGGGAGGCAGCAGUGGGGAAUCUUGCACAAUGGGCGAAAGCCUGAUGCAGCAACGCCGCGUGAGGGACGAAGGCUUUCUGAGUUGUAAACCUCUUUCAGCAGGGACGAUUGUGACGGUACCUGCAGAAGAAGCCCCGGCCAACUACGUGCCAGCAGCCGCGGUAAUACGUAGGGGGCAAGCGUUGUCCGGAUUUAUUGGGCGUAAAGAGCUCGUAGGCGGCUUGGCAAGUCGGAUGUGAAACCUCCAGGCUCAACCUGGAGUCGCCAUUCGAUACUGCCAUGGCUAGAGUUUGGUAGGGGACCACGGAAUUCCUGGUGUAGCGGUGAAAUGCGCAGAUAUCAGGAGGAACACCAGCGGCGAAGGCGGUGGUCUGGGCCAAUACUGACGCUGAGGAGCGAAAGCGUGGGGAGCGAACAGGAUUAGAUACCCUGGUAGUCCACGCCGUAAACGUUGGGCACUAGGUGUGGGGACCUAUCGACGGUUUCUGUGCCGCAGCUAACGCAUUAAGUGCCCCGCCUGGGGAGUACGGCCGCAAGGCUAAAACUUAAAGGAAUUGA
rnacentral:rRNA from 1 species